rnacentral:rRNA from 1 species
CUUAAGUGGCGGACGGGUGAGUAACGCGUGGGUAACCUGCCGUAUACAGGGGAUAACACUUAGAAAUAGGUGCUAAAACCGCAUAAGCGCACAGCGCCGCAUGGCGCAGUGUGAAAAACUCCGGUGGUAUACGAUGGACCCGCGUCUGAUUAGCCAGUUGGCAGGGUAACGGCCUACCAAAGCGACGAUCAGUAGCCGGCCUGAGAGGGUGGACGGCCACAUUGGGACUGAGACACGGCCCAAACUCCUACGGAAGGCAGCAG